rnacentral:rRNA from 1 species
AAAAGUAGCCCCCCUGAAGGGUUUCGGGCCGCCUAAGCUAUGAGCAUAGCUUAUUCCUCGGGAAGCAGCAGUAAAGAAUUUUUGGCAACCCGCUACGCGGGGCCGAGUACUUAUUAUUUAGCCGGUUGUUUAUUCCCCCGGCUUUACAAAGUCUGACUAAUAGAUGUGCCAGCAGUUGCGGUAAAACAUACGGACCUAGCGCUGUUCAUUUUGGCUAAGUGUAAAACGGGGUACCCUUCGUUGCUUAAACCCAGUUACUAUCGUCGUUUAGUCGGUUUUGGGCCUCGGCAACAGCUACGUGCAUCUGCUGUCUAGUGGCUGCUACCCUUGGUAGCAGCUGCUUACCAUUGCAAGGACAGCGGAGCUCUUAGUGGGGACACCCUAAAGUGUAGGUUUCGACCGGGAUUAGAGACCCCGUUAGUCUACACCCUAAAUUAAAACGGUUAGCUUCAUCGCGUAGGUAACCCAUACCGUUUACUCGGGGAUAAUCUUCGCAAGAAGUAAAUUUAAAGAAAUUGGCGGGAGUCUAGCAAAGCGGCGGGGUGUGUGACUUAAUUAGAUAAUUCACUAAAAACCUUACCUGGAUAGCUAACCUAUGCAGCUAGCGUAAAUGCUAGCGGCUCGUGGUUAGCCGGUAUUGCAUGGUUGUCUUAGGGUCUUUGUGUGA